rnacentral:rRNA from 1 species
ACUCAAAGGAAUAGACGGGGGCCCGCACAAGCGGUGGAGCAUGUGGUUCAAUUCGACGCAACGCGAAGAACCUUACCUGGGCUAGACAACGGCGGACCAUCCUAGAAAUAGGAUUUUCCCUUCGGGGACUGCCGGUUCAGGUGCUGCAUGGCUGUCGUCAGCUCGUGCCGUGAGGUGUUGGGUUAAGUCCCGCAACGAGCGCAACCCUUGCCUUUAGUUGCCACCAUUCAGUUGGGCACUCUAGGGGGACUGCCGGCGUUAAGCCGGAGGAAGGUGGGGACGACGUCAAGUCAUCAUGGCCCUUAUGUCCAGGGCCACACACGUGCUACAAUGGACGGUACAAAGGGUCGCAAACCCGUGAGGGGGAGCCAAUCCCAAAAAGCCGUUCUCAGUUCGGAUUGGAGUCUGCAACUCGACUCCAUGAAGCUGGAAUCGCUAGUAAUCGCGGAUCAGAACGCCGCGGUGAAUACGUUCCCGGGCCUUGUACACACCGCCCGU